AUGGCCAGGGCGGAGUUCCCUGUUCAGGCGGCGGCGGCAGCGGUCCCCUCCAUGGCCGGAGGGUCAGCGGGGAUCGGUCUCCGGCGUGCUCUCAGGCGAUGGUUGCUGGUGGCGAUCGUGGAUCUGAUGCCAGUUCAGAUCCAUCGCGGUGUGGCCCUUGGCCGGCCGGCGGCACAUAGAAGGGUCGGUGAGGGGCGGCUGCAGGUCAUCCUCGACUGGCGUUCCGGCGGCUGCGUGCGUCUUCGGUUUGGAGGAUUUUUGUAG
rnacentral:rRNA from 1 species